rnacentral:rRNA from 1 species
CUGCCGGUGAUAAACCGGAGGAAGGUGGGGAUGACGUCAAGUCAUCAUGGCCCUUACGACCAGGGCUACACACGUGCUACAAUGGCGCAUACAAAGAGAAGCGACCUCGCGAGAGCAAGCGGACCUCAUAAAGUGCGUCGUAGUCCGGAUUGGAGUCUGCAACUCGACUCCAUGAAGUCGGAAUCGCUAGUAAUCGUGGAUCAGAAUGCCACGGUGAAUACGUUCCCGGGCCUUGUACACACCGCCCGUCACACCAUGGGAGUGGGUUGCAAAAGAAGUAGGUAGCUUAACCUUCGGGAGGGCGCUUACCACUUUGUGAUUCAUGACUGGGGUGAAGUCGUAACAAGGUAACCGUAGGGGAACCUGCG